UGUUAUAUAGUUUAUCAAAAACAUUAAUUUUGUAAAUUAAAAAUUUAUUAAAAAUCAUAAUAUAACAU
rnacentral:tRNA from 1 species